CACUUCCGCCCUCACUGGUUGCCGUGGUAACAGGCCUCCGGUGGAGGGCGGGGACCCUCGGAAGCCAGCUGGGUGGCGAUCGCUUGUCUGCCUUGGCAGGCCCCUUGUGCAGUCUUUUCCCGGCGUGAGCGUGCAGGGAUUGAAAAGGAAUGCUUUAUGGUUCAGCAGAGAGCCACCACGCAGGAUGCACUGGGACCUGAGAACCGUCGGGCAGUCCCACGAGCUCUUUCAUGACCAGCUCCAACCGACAAGUACACGCCCCUUCGCACUCCACUAGCUAGUAAGCUGAGCUACAAGGUGUGCCAGGCACCCAGGACGCCGAUUCACCGCUUCAGUGAAGGCCCAGCUCAAAUGCCACCUCUUCCAUGAAGACUUCCGUGAUCCACAAUGAUAGCAUCUCCAGCAAUUGCUUCUAUAAUGAAUAGCAUGAGUCAUUCUGCAGGAUGUUGAUCUUCCUUUUUUUACUCCUAGACUGAAUUUUUCCACCACCUGGAUGAACAUAGCAGAAAGAACAUAGUGUUUUAGAGUCAGACACAAUAGGAAUCAGGCACUUUGGAAUCUUGGCUCUACCACCUUUGAGCUAUGUAUCCCAAGGUAACGGCAGAGUCCCAAAACACAUGAAGCAAGAACUGACAGAACUGGAGGGAGACAUCAAUCAAUAACAACAGUUGGAGAAUUCAAUACCCUGCUCUGAAUAAUGGAUAGAACAAUUAGGCAGAAGACCAACAAAGAAAGAGGAUAUUUGAACAACGUGAUAAGCCAAUUUGACCUAAUAAAUAUCUUUAUCUGUGAAACACCCUAGCUUUUAGCCUGGGUAAGGAGCUGGAGAGAUGUGAAAAUGUGGAAAGCAAGCCUAAGUCGCAGUGUGGCCUAUGCCUGAGAGCCAUCUUCAGUGCCCCCUUGUGGCUGUAUCUGGGAACCACAGACAGAAUCAUGGAACUGACCAUCUUCAGUCUCAAAGUGCUGCCCUCACCACUACACCCAGGGGCAGGUGGUCUUCGGGGGAAAGGCGGUUCCAGUUCCUUCUCCCAAGGUAACAACUCCCAUCCCAAGGCAAUGUUCACAGAACCUAUCAGAGUCCCCCCUGCCCUAUGCACAGCUUAAGACCAGGGUGGUCUCAGCUCUGAUCAGGCCACUGAGGGCAUCUGUCUGAGAUUUGGGACCCAGUUAUUGUCCCUGUUCUUCUUAGGCAGAUGGCGGAGUUCCCCAGUACACAGAAGGUGCUCACUCUUCACAAAAAGCAGUGCUUGAGAAUAACAGCCUACCUUGGUGGAGUAGCUUCGUUAGGGCCAGGGCUUGACUUGAAGCCAGAGACUGAGGUUGCAGUCCAGCCUUGGGUCAGCCUCAGGCUGGGGCUGGGGUGAUGCUGAGACCCUCACCAGAAAAAAGGCCUUUACCCCAUCCGAAAGGAAAUGGCUAUCCUCUGACCUGAGCACUCUAGCCUGAGGCCUGCCUGGCGCUAGAAGCCAGCCUCUGUUGUCCCCUCCCAGCACUCCUCCCACUGCUCUGCCUUUCUGCCCACAUAGAAACUCUGGAGACACCAGCUCCCCACCCUUCCAAGCUAAGCCCCACUGCUGUCUCUGCCUCCUCCAUCUUUCAAACCGGCAAUGUUUUUCCAAUCAGGCCUCCCUAUCCUUCCCCUACUGCUCUGCCCUUCACUGCCUUCCUUUCCUGGCGACUCUCAGCCGCCCUUCAAGGCCCAGCUCAGGCGUUCUUUCCUCAGUGACGCACCCCCGGGCAGGCUGGGGCUUCUGGCACAGCUCUGGCCACCCUGCGUAUCUUCAGCUGUUCCCAAUGUUUGUCUCUGCUCCCAAGUAGCUCUCUCACAGUUUCUGGCACAGAGGAGUUGGCCCUGAGGGGGAUGAACAGCAAGGACAGGCAGGACAGUUCUGGCAGUAAGGAAGUUAGAACAAGGUCCUUUGGUCUCGGCUAGGAAGGGUUCCCAGGUGCUUAGUACUCACUGAACAGAAAGGAAUUAGAAAAGAGGUGGCAUCUUGUAAUCGCUAGGGUGACAGCAGGCCAGGCCUCUGCCUUUUUGGUAGAGCUGAGGCCAGGGGCAGGGAACACAGCUUGAGUGACCCAUAAGGAGCCUUCCAGCUCAGCCACCCAAGGGCCCCCCAGCUGGACAGGAGCCCUUUACCACAUGGUAGGCAUCAUGUCAAGUGGCUCCCAAUGACCCCUGCCCCCUGGCAUCCAUUCCCUGGUGUAAUCCCCUCCCGUCCAGUGGGAGCUGGACCGAGCAAUGUUCAUUUAAUGAACAGAAUAUGGCAAAAGUGACAGGAUAUCACUUCCCAGGUUAGGUUAUAAGGGCCUGGGACUUCCGUCUUGCUCGCACACUUCACUCCACUCACUGGCUCUUCUUGCUAAGUAAGCUGGUGUGCCGUGAGCUACCCCAUGGAAAGGCCCAUGUGGCAAGGAACUGAAAGUGGCCUCUGUCAACAGCCAGUGAGGAAGUCAAUCCUGCGAACAACUGCAGGAACGGCCUUGGGAGUGGAUCCUUCCUCAGCCCGGCUCCAAGACAACUGCAGCCCUGUGAGAAACCCUGAGUGGAGGACCAAGCCAAGCCUCAAAUCGUGACUUGGAACUGGGAGACAACAGAUGCUGUUGGAAGCCACUGAGCUCUGAAGUAGUUUGUUACACAGUGACAGGUAACUUACACACCAUGGCAGGGUCAUGUGGGCCAAAGGUGCAAGGGGCUAGAGGGCUCAGAGGGCAGCCAGCUGGGGACCCAGUCUUCCCCAGGUGUCAGCAGCAGAUGCAGAUGCAGCCCCAGCAAUAACUCAUAGAGGAUUCUCACUUUCAUUUAUUUUCAAGGCAUAUACAAAAGUCUGACAUGGUGCAAUGAUCUCAUCAAGAGAUAACAGAACACACAGGAGAGGGUUGGGUUUCCUCCCCGGCCCAACCCCCUCAGGAAGGCACAGAAAAGUGAGGCUUGGGUUCGGGGGCCACCUGCUUUGGAACUAAUCUGCUGCUCAGAAGGCCAGGCCCCUUCUGAAGAGGGAUCUCUUCCUCACAUCCAGAAUCUAGGAUCUGGGGAAGGUAAACUGAGGCCACCAGUAAGCAUGUGCUCCAGGCCAAGGCUGAGUCUGUGCUGCAUCCAUGUCAUCAGCCACCCAAGAAAAACCAGUUACUCCACCUAGCUCAUGGUGGCGGCAUCCUCCCUGCAAUGGUGCAUGGGGGGCAGUCCUUUCCCCUGCAGGGUGUCAUUGCCACCCCCAUCCUCAUCCUGGAGGCCAGUCCAGGCUCCGAUAUGAGUGACUAGGGGUGAGGUAGGGGUGGCAGAAGGGAGAUCAAACUGGAGCAUUCCAGAUGCCUACUACUGCCCUCACACAACGGGGCAACUGUGCUCUCCAACUCCUCCCCUUGGCAGAGAAACUGGUCCUGCAGUUUCAGGACUAGACGAGCGUGGGGUAGUGGCAAUAAAGGGGCUUGUAUGAGAAGUGGCUUUCGCCUCUCAUCCCUAGGGGCAAAAAGUGAAUCAUCUAACUGGUCCAAGUCACUAAUGGCAAUCCUUCUUCCCCAAGAAGACUGAGUUUCCUUUGUCACUUCAGGAAGGGAAGAA
rnacentral:lncRNA from 1 species